rnacentral:rRNA from 1 species
UACGUAGGGUGCGAGCGUUAAUCGGAAUUACUGGGCGUAAAGCGUGCGCAGGCGGUUUUGUAAGCCAGAUGUGAAAUCCCCGGGCUUAACCUGGGAAUGGCAUUUGGGACUGCAAGGCUUGAGUGCGGCAGAGGAGACUGGAAUUCCUGGUGUAGCAGUGAAAUGCGUAGAUAUCAGGAGGAACACCGAUGGCGAAGGCAGGUCUCUGGGCUGACACUGACACUGAUGAGCGAAAGCCAGGGGAGCAAACGGG